rnacentral:lncRNA from 1 species
CGCUGGUCUCUGGAAAGGCUGGUCUGAGGGUGAGGGGCUGGGGAAGAGGGGUUGCUUGCUGAGUAACCAUGGCAACUCUGCAGCCUCAGGGCACCCGGGUGCUCACACCCAUUCCCCCUAGAAUACCCAGAAAAGGGCGAUCUCUGCCUUGACUCAGACUGGGAAACUGAGGUUCAUGAACACCUGUCACUUCCUUCUGCCUACUCUGGGUUACAGUCUUGGAAUAAAAACCCACACUUGGUGUGUGACAAUGUCAGGAAGUCCCUGGCAGGGGGAGGGUGGGGAUGGAUUUAGAAAACCAAAUUUAUGGACCCUGGGGGAUUAGCUGGAGUAACCCUGGAAGGCUUCCUAGCAGAAGCACCUUUAUAAACCUCUCCUAGUGCUGUGAAGCCCCAGCCAGGGCCACCCUGGCACCCACUGAUUCCGCCUCAAGGAUUCUCUAGCCAGGUGAUUGUGCAUGCCUUGGGAGACAGAGGUAGGGGAAUCUCUGUGAGUUCAAGGCCAGCCUGGGGAAUACAAAGUAAAAUCCUGUGUCAAACUAACUGAAUGCUAAAACUUGCUAAUGACCACUCCAGUCCUCUCCUGCACAAUCAGACGGGUCAUUUAAUUCCAGGACAACCUCUGGUCUGCUCAUCUGUCUCCUCCUGGCUGUGUUAACCAUCCUUUCCCCUUAUCACAGCAGCAAGAGCCGCAAGUCCUAGUCACCUCGUGUGUCUGCCCCAGCCCAGGCCUGGCAAGGUGGCAGGAAAGGCACCAGACCUGGGGGAAGAGCAUGUUCAAAGGCUCCAAGAACAAGGCUGUGACCCAAGACUGACCCAGAGUGACAAUGACAUGAAAAUCAAGGUGCUGGAGGGCAGAGACUCUGCAGUUAACAGUAUGCAAGGCUCUUACAGAGACUCUGAGUUCAGAGUCCCAGCACUCUUGCUGGGCUGCUCACAACCGCCUGAGACUGGAGCUCUGGCCUUCACAUACCUGCCUCACAGACUGUAAAAAUAAAGUCAACUGAGGGCUAGAGAGAUGGCUCA